AAACGAUCACAUGGAGGAAGUGGAAGAGCCAGAAGAAGAGCUAGGAGCCAUGAAAGAAAUGAUGUACAAAAUCGCAGCUAUGCAGCCUGUAGAUAUAGAUCCAGCAACAAUUCGCAAGCCCAAAAGACGAAACGUAAGGAUAAGUGAUGACCCCCAGAGCGUGGCAGCACGUCAUAGGAGAGAAAGAAUAAGCGAAAAGAUGAGAAUUUUGCAAAGACUUGUUCCUGGAGGAACAAAAAUGGACACUGCCUCCAUGCUAGAUGAAGCUAUUCUUUAUGUCAAGUUCUUGAAAAGACAGAUUCGCUUACUCCAAUCUAAUCAAAACCCACCAUGCAUUGGAGGCUGGAAACCUCUUGUUUCCACCACAUCGUCCACCCUUGAGUCUCCGGCACCAGCAGGCCCUGGAAACGCUUUUCUCAGUAAUGGUGGUGACCCUGCAGCUAUGUGCUUCAAUCAUGAGGUAAUAAGUGAUUAGAGGGUAAUUAUUAAGUGUUAAUUAUUGUUGAAAUUGUGUAAAUGAUUUAAG
rnacentral:misc_RNA from 1 species